rnacentral:lncRNA from 1 species
GAGGCCACCCACCUCUUGAUGUAGCUGCUGAGGCGGUAGAGCUGCCCGUCGAGGCGCACGAGGCCGUCACCGAAGACGUUGAAGCCCCCCCGCGCCGCCGCCGGCUCCCCGGGCCUGGCCACCACGAGCUGGUCGCCGCUCAGCUGGAAGGCACCGGGCUGCAGGCGCAGCAGCUGAGCCAGCGGCAGCAGGGCCAGCUCGCAGUCGCAGGUCCACAGGCUGCGAAGCUCCCCAGACGAGAUGGAGGUCAGGCUCGGCCUGGCCACCGGCUCGCAGGCCGCCCCCGCCAUGCCCGCGUCGUCGGUCCUCACACCGCCUGCUUCCGUCCGGUGCCUACAGCCCCCAGCCGGCACCUGAUGGUCCCCAGGAGGGGCCGGGCGCCCUGCCUGCGUCAGCCGCGCGCGAGGUGCACACCUAUCCUUUCUCCAGACAUGGAUCUUUUACCCAUGGGAUCAUUACCCCAUCUCUGGGCCUCUCUGAACAAAUCUAAUUCACUGAGCAUGAAUUGAUCACUACCCACUCAACCUUUUGUGGCGCAGGAAGGAUGCUCUACCUGUGAAAAAAGCAUCCAGAAGAUCUUCUUGCAAAGGGAGGUUUGAGGAUCCCUGCAAAGAGAAUGGGUCUGGGGUGGGCUGAGACUGUAGACAGGACUCAGAGGCUGGGGCUGUUUUCACAGGGGAGGGAUUUGGUGCCAGCAGUUAAAUCCAUUGUGCCCUAUUUAGAACUUCACUCUUGUCCCAAACAUUGACAGAGUCAUCACUAUGCACCAGGGACCAUCUUAAGCUCUGAGGUCACACACACACACACACAAGGAUCCAAUAAGUGCUACCAUAGAUGUAUGGACUAAGCACUAUGAGAAAUAAGUGGUUCUGCCCCAAGAAGGGUGCUCAAAGGAGGUGACACAUGGCUAGACUUCCAAUACACAGGGGAGGCUCCCAGGGGAAGGAGCAGCAGCAAUAAGGAGAUGGGAGAGAAGAUUCUGUACCAUUCUAUGCAAAGAGAGAUGCUAUGGUUCCAUCUGGGGGAGGGGGGAAAUUUUUAAACAGCUAGGGCAGACCAUCCUAUUUGGGAUAAGAGGGGUCAGUUUUAUAUGAGAUGAGACCAGAAAGGGCUGUUGGAGCCAGAUUGUGACAGACCCUCUGAGUUGUCAGGAAUUUGGAUUCUUAAGACAAUGAGGAGCCUUGGGAUGUUUUAAAGAAAGGAAGUGAUAUAAUUAUGCCUCAGUUCAGAUAGACACCUUUGGUUAUGACCAAAGAAGAUGUUUUGAAACAGGAAGAUCAGAGGCAGAGAAACCAGUUAGGAGAUUGAUGUAAUAAUCCAGAUAACAUAUGAUGGGGGUCUGAACAGAAGCAGCUGUGGGAAUGGAGAUGAGGUUUCAACAUUUUUGAGUCAGAGUCAGCAGGAAGGAUCUUAUGAGUAAAUAAAUGAAAAAGAGCAGAGAGACCCACUUAGUCUCUUGCUUGGGUACCCAGAGAGAUGGUGACACCAUUAACGAAGCUAGGGUUCACAGGAGGAAGAGUAGGAGUUUGAGGAGAGAUAGUGAUGAGUUCAGGGGGGACAUACUGAUUUUGAGCUACUUAUGGAACAUCAAGGUAGAAAAGUCCAGGAGGCAAGGAGUUAGUUGGGUCUGGCGUUUUGGAAAGACAAGGUCAAUGAUUGAGAUUUGAAAGUCUCUAGAUCAAAGACGGGGUUGAAGCCAAAGAAGUGGAUGGGGGCAUCUAGCUAAUACAUGAUAGGGUAGGAAUUUGAACCCAGGCCUUUAGUUUACUUCAACAUAUGUUAAUUGAGCAUCUGCUAUGUUCAGUGCUUUGCUGGAGAUACAGAGUUGAAUAGAGGAUGGCCCCUGUCCUCAAAUAACAGGGAGAAAUGCAGGAAUCAGCAUGAACUAGUCUUCUGGCACCAUGUCCAAACAUGUGGCUGAAAUCUAGUUAUAUUUUGCCUGUGUCUCCAACCUGCUGGUGGAAUACAACCUCAACAACAAUAACAGCUGCAGAAGUUGCUUUCAAUUAGUAAGUCAAGGAGGGCAGGUCCACUACAGAGCCCUCACCAGCCCCUACUCUCCCCAUUCCACAUAGAUCGAACUCAACAACUCACCCUAUGAGCUUCACAUAGAUCAAGCUCAACAACUCUUGAUUGCCCUUAAACCUACACCACACUGUCUAUGAAUGAUUUGGCUUUCUUGAAGGGUAAAAUGUUACAUCGGGGUUUUAUAUCAGAAUUAUAUGCAUUUGUUUAAGAUAAACAUACCAGUCCCUCCUAUCAAAAAACCGUUUCCUGGGCAGGCACGGUGGCUCACACCUAUAAUUCCAGUAUUCUGGGAGGCCAAGGCAUGUGGAUCGCCUGAGGUCAGGAGUUCCAGACCAGCCUGGCCAACAUGGUGAAAUCCCAUCUCUACUAAAAAUACAAAAAUUAGCUGGGUAUGGUGUUGAAUGCCUGUAAUCCUAGCUACUUGGGAGGCUGAGGCAGGAGAAUCGCUUGAACCUGGGAGGCAGAGGUUGCAAUGAGCCAAGAUCGUGCCAUUGCACUCCAGCCUGGGUGACAAGAGUCAAACUCCAUCUCAAAAAAAAAAAUCCGUU